UACGGAGGGUGCAAGCGUUGUCCGGAUUUAUUGGGUUUAAAGGGUGCGUAGGCGGCCCGUUAAGUCAGUGGUGAAAGCCUCCAGCUCAACUGGAGAACUGCCAUUGAUACUGGCGGGCUUGAGUACAGACGAGGUUGGCGGAAUUGAUUGUGUAGCGGUGAAAUGCUUAGAUAUGACACAGAACUCCGAUUGCGAAGGCAGCUCACUAAACUGUAACUGACGCUGAGGCACGAAAGCGUGGGGAUCAAACAGG
rnacentral:rRNA from 1 species